UACGAAGGGGGCUAGCGUUGCUCGGAAUUACUGGGCGUAAAGGGCGCGUAGGCGGCACUGUUAGUCAGGCGUGAAAGUCCUGGGCUCAACCUGGGAACUGCGCUUGAUACGGCAGAGCUAGAGGAUGGAAGAGGGUCGCGGAAUUCCCAGUGUAGAGGUGAAAUUCGUAGAUAUUGGGAAGAACACCGGUGGCGAAGGCGGCCAUCUGGACCGCAACUGACGCUGAGGCGCGAAAGCGUGGGGAGCAAACAGG
rnacentral:rRNA from 1 species